GACGAACGCUGGCGGCGUGCCUAAUACAUGCAAGUCGAACGAGAGCAACCGGUGCUUGCACUGGUCAAUCUAGUGGCGAACGGGUGAGUAACACGUGGGUAACCUGCCCAUCAGAGGGGGAUAACAUCCGGAAACGGAUGCUAAAACCGCAUAGGUCUUCGAACCGCAUGGUUUGAAGAGGAAAAGAGGCGCAAGCUUCUGCUGAUGGAUGGACCCGCGGUGCAUUAGCUAGUUGGUGAGGUAACGGCUCACCAAGGCCGUGAUGCAUAGCCGACCUGAGAGGGUGAUCGGCCACAUUGGGACUGAGACACGGCCCAAACUCCUACGGGAGGCAGCAGUAGGGAAUCUUCCUCAAUGGACGCAAGUCUGACGGAGCAACGCCGCGUGAGUGAAGAAGGUUUUCGGAUCGUAAAACUCUGUUGUUAGAGAAGAACAAGUGCUAGAGUAACUGUUAGCGCCUUGACGGUAUCUAACCAGAAAGCCACGGCUAACUACGUG
rnacentral:rRNA from 1 species